rnacentral:rRNA from 1 species
AUUGAACGCUGGCGGCAUGCUUUACACAUGCAAGUCGAACGGCAGCGCGGGCUUCGGCCUGGCGGCGAGUGUCGAACGGGUGAGUAAUGCAUCUGAACGUGCCCAGUAGUGGGGGAUAGCCCGGCGAAAGCCGGAUUAAUACCGCAUACGACCUGAGGGUGAAAGCGGGGGACCGAUAGGCCUCUCGCUAUUUUAGCGGCCGAUGUCGGAUUUGCUAGUUGGUGGGGUAAAGGCUUACCAAGGCGACGAUCCGUAGCUGGUCUGAGAGUACGACCAGCCAAACGGGAAAUGAGACACGGAAAAGACUAGUACGGGAGGAAGCAGUGGGGAAUUUGGGACAAUGGGGGAAAACAUGAUACAGCAAUGCCGCGUGAGGGAAGAAGGACUUCGGGUUGUAAAACGCUUUUGUUAGGGAAGAAAACAUGUGGGAUAAUACCACGGGGGGAUGACGGUACCGGAAGAAUAAGCACCGGCUAACUACGUG